rnacentral:tRNA from 1 species
GGGCUCUUAGCUCAGCUGGUUAGAGCGCUGCCUUGACAUGGCAGAGGCCAGAGGUUCGAGUCCUCUAGAGCCCA